rnacentral:tRNA from 1 species
AAUGAGAUAGUUUAAAUGUUUAAAGAAUAUUAAGUUUGCGUCUUAAUGGUAGAUUGAUUC